rnacentral:pre_miRNA from 1 species
GUACGUUUGUGUGUGAAUAGUGUUCAGCACCAAGGACAGGUACGUUUGUGUGUGAAUAGUGUUUCAGCACCAAGGACAGGUACGUUUGUGU